UUUCCGUAGGUGAACCUGCGGAGGGAUCAUUACAAGUUGACCCCGGCCCUCGGGCCGGGAUGUUCACAACCCUUUGUUGUCCGACUCUGUUGCCUCCGGGGCGACCCUGCCUCCGGGCGGGGGCCCCGGGUGGACAUUUCAAACUCUUGCGUAACUUUGCAGUCUGAGUAAAUUUAAUUAAUAAAUUAAAACUUUCAACAACGGAUCUCUUGGUUCUGGCAUCGAUGAAGAACGCAGCGAAAUGCGAUAAGUAAUGUGAAUUGCAGAAUUCAGUGAAUCAUCGAAUCUUUGAACGCACAUUGCGCCCCCUGGUAUUCCGGGGGGUAUGCCUGUUCGAGCGUCAUUUCACCACUCAAGCCUCGCUUGGUAUUGGGCGACGCGGUCCGCCGCGCGCCUCAAAUCGACCGGCUGGGUCUUUCGUCCCCUCAGCGUUGUGGAAACUAUUCGCUAAAGGGUGCCGCGGGAGGCCACGCCGUAAAACAACCCCAUUUCUAAGGUUGACCUCGGAUCAGGUAGGGAUACCCGCUGAACUUAAGCAUAUCAAUAAGCGGAGGAAA
rnacentral:rRNA from 1 species